rnacentral:rRNA from 1 species
UACGAAGGGGGCUAGCGUUGUUCGGAGUUACUGGGCGUAAAGGGCGCGGUAGGCGGCGCACCAAGUCAGGCGUGAAAGCCCUGGCUCAACCGGGAAUGCGCUUGAGACUGGUGUGCUUGAGUACGGGAGAGGAUAGUGGAAUUCCCAGUGUAGAGGUGAAAUUCGUAGAUAGUUGGGAAGAACACCGGUGGCGAAGGCGGCUAUCUGGACCGUAACUGGACGCUGAGGCGCGAAAGCGUGGGGAGCAAACAGGG